rnacentral:rRNA from 1 species
GUGUCAGCAGCCGCGGUAAGACGUAGGGCGCGAGCGUUGUCCGGAUUUAUUGGGCGUAAAGAGCUCGUAGGCGGCUCAUUGCGUCAACCGUGAAAACCAGCAGCUCAACUGUUGGCUUGCGGUUGAUACGGGUGGGCUGGAGUUCGGUAGGGGAGACUGGAAUUCCUGGUGUAGCGGUGAAAUGCGCAGAUAUCAGGAGGAACACCGGUGGCGAAGGCGGGUCUCUGGGCCGAUACUGACGCUGAGGAGCGAAAGCGUGGGGAGCGAACAGGAUUAGAAACCCCCGUAGUCC